UACAGAGGUCUCAAGCGUUGUUCGGAUUCAUUGGGCGUAAAGGGUGCGUAGGUGGCGCUGUAAGUCGGGUGUGAAAUUUCGAGGCUUAACCUCGAAACUGCAUUCGAUACUGCGGUGCUUGAGGACUGGAGGAGGAGACUGGAAUUCAUGGUGUAGCAGUGAAAUGCGUAGAGAUCAUGAGGAAGACCAGUGGCGAAGGCGGGUCUCUGGACAGUUCCUGACACUGAGGCACGAAGGCCAGGGGAGCAAACGGG
rnacentral:rRNA from 1 species